rnacentral:lncRNA from 1 species
GCAUGAAUUUGUUUUAAAAUCAUGCAAAUAGCUCUUUGCUUUCCGUUUUCCAUCCUUUACAGAAGAUGUCAAGCUGACGUGAAAUUACUGAGGAAAGGACAAAAGUUCCGCCUAAGUUACAUGUUACGUAACAUUGACCUUUCACAUAGGCAAGAGGGCUCUCUUCCCACGUUACACAGGAAACAGAAAGGGCUGCUGUUGCUUUGCUGGAAGGUACGAGGAAACUUCAGGAGAACAGUUGUUUUGGCUUUCUGCCUUUGGAAAACAUCAUUAAUAAAAAAAAAAACUACCUGAAGAUGAAGAUUAGGAAUAAAUAUGCAGACUUCCACUUCCA